rnacentral:rRNA from 1 species
UACGUAGGGGGCAAGCGUUGUCCGGAAUUACUGGGCGUAAAGGGCUCGUAGGCGGCCAACUAAGUCGGACGUGAAAUCCCUCGGCUUAACCGGGGAACUGCAUCCGAUACUGGAAGGCUCGAGUUUGGGAGAGGGAUGCGGAAUUCCAGGUGUAGCGGUGAAAUGCGUAGAUAUCUGGAGGAACACCGGUGGCGAAGGCGGCAUCCUGGACCAACACUGACGCUGAGGAGCGAAAGCCAGGGGGAGCAAACGGG